rnacentral:rRNA from 1 species
AUUGAACGCUGGCGGCAGGCUUAACACAUGCAAGUCGAGCGGUUGAAGGGAGCUUGCUUCUGGAUUCAGCGGCGGACGGGUGAGUAAUGCCUAGGAAUCUGCUUGGUAGUGGGGGAUAAUGUCCGGAAACGGGCGCUAAUACCGCAUACGUCCUGAGGGAGACAGUGGGGGAUGUUCGGACCUCACGCUAUCAGAUGAGCCUAGGUCGGAUUAGCUAGCUGGUGGGGUAAAGGCCUACCAAGGCGACGAUCCGUAACUGGUCUGAGAGGAUGAUCAGUCACACGAGAACUGAGACACGGACCAGGCUCCUACGGGAGGCAGCAGUGGGGAAUGUGGGACAGUGGGCGGAAGCCUUAUCCAGCCGUGGCGCGUGUGUGGAGAAGGUCUUGGGAUUGUAAAGCACUUUAUGGUGGGAUAAAGGGCAGUAAGUUAAUACCUUGCUGUUGUGACGUUACCAGCAGAAUAAGCACCGGCUAACUUCGUG